rnacentral:piRNA from 1 species
UAAUAUUUGCAUAAACUUUGCCAGGCCUU